UCGAGAAUCUUCGGCAAUGGGCGCAAGCCUGACCGAGCGACGCCGCGUGGAGGAUGAAGGCCUUCGGGUUGUAAACUCCUGUCGAGGGGGAAGAAGGGCCGAAAGGCCUUGACUGAUCCCUGGAGGAAGCACGGGCUAAGUUCGUGCCAGCAGCCGCGGUAAGACGAACCGUGCGAACGUUAUUCGGAAUCACUGGGCUUAAAGCGCGUGUAGGCGGGACGGCACGUCGGUCGCUGAAAUCCCCCGGCUUAACCGGGGAACUGGCGUCGAUACGACCGCCCUGGAGGGGCGUAGGGGGACCUGGAACUUCCGGUGGAGCGGUGAAAUGCGUUGAGAUCGGAAGGAACGCCCGUGGCGAAAGCGAGGUCCUGGACGCCUACUGACGCUGAGACGCGAAAGCCAGGGGAGCGAACG
rnacentral:rRNA from 1 species